rnacentral:rRNA from 1 species
UACGGGGGGGGUAAGCGUUGUUCGGAAUUACUGGGCGUAAAGGGCGCGUAGGCGGCCAGCACAAGUCAGUUGUGAAAUCUCCGAGCUUAACUCGGAACGGUCAACUGAUACUGUGCGGCUAGAGUGCGGAAGGGGCAACUGGAAUUCUUGGUGUAGCGGUGAAAUGCGUAGAUAUCAAGAGGAACACCUGCGGCGAAGGCGGGUUGCUGGGCCGACACGUGACGCUGAGGCGCGAAAGCCAGGGGAGCGAACGGG